UCUAUCUGUUGUCCACAGAUGUUGACUUUCGGGCAAGGUGUUUCGUAGGUUCGGUGGAACAGCACUUAUCAGUUCUCUGCGCGCCCAAGUCUUAUUUGCUGUGGAUGGAGCUCCAUCUGGAGGACAAAAGCAGUACUGCACCAGCGGACGUGAAAGGGGACCGGCUUUAAAAAAAAUCAAAGAUGGCUACUUGGAAUGUCAUGUGACCCCAACACAGAAUGAUGACCCCUACACAGAAUGAUGACCCCCAACACAGAAUGAUGACCCCUACACAGAAUGAUGACCCCUACACAGAAUGAUGACCCCCAACACAGAAUGAUGACCCCUACACAGAAUGAUGACCCCUACACAGAAUGAUGACCCCUACACCUACUGUACAAGUUAAGACUUCCAGACCUUGGGUCCACCAGCAGGAGGGGGCAGAGGAGUGCAGGUCCAGGUCUUGGGAGACUGGGAAAAAUAGGGAGGGAGAUGGUAAGCAGACCGGCUGGCAGUGGGCUGAUUAGUGGCUGCUCUGCCACACUGUGUAGCAUGCCCUGUUCUGUCCUCUGGAAGCUGGUAGGUGUUGAUGGGGCUGGCAGCGGUGGCGUGGAAGGGGCCUGAAUCCUCCCUCUCUGCAGUCAUGCUGUCCCGGGUCUGGUGAAGGGUCUCUCUCUCCUAAGAAGACAUCCGA